AUUGAACGCUGGCGGCAGGCUUAACACAUGCAAGUCGAACGAGUGGCGGACGGGUGAGUAAUGCCUGGGAAACUGGCUUAUGGAGGGGGAUAACUACGGGAAACGGUAGCUAAUACCGCGUACCAUAGGAUGAGCCCAGAUGGGAUUAGGUAGUUGGUGGGGUAACGGCUCACCAAGGCGACGAUCCCUAGCUGGUCUGAGCGGAUGACCAGCCACACUGGAACUGAGAAACGGUCCAGACUCCUACGGGAGGCAGCAGUGGGGAAGAUUGCACAAUGGGGGCAACCCUGAUGCAGCCAUGCCGCGUGUAUGAAGAAGGCCUUCGGGUUGUAAAGUUCUUUCGGUGGCGAGGCGUUACCUGCAGAAGAAGCACCGGCUAACUCCGUGCCAGCAGCCGCGGUAAUUC
rnacentral:rRNA from 1 species